rnacentral:rRNA from 1 species
CACACGUGUUACAAUGGCAGGUACAGAGGGAUGCUACCGGGCGACCGGAUGCGGAUCUCGAAAGCCUGUCCCAGUUCGGACUGGAGUCUGCAACCCGACUCCACGAAGUUGGAUUCGCUAGUAAUCGCGCAUCAGCCAUGGCGCGGUGAAUACGUUUCCCCGGGCCUUGUACACACCGCCCGUCAAGCCAUGGGAGCCGGGGGCGCCUGAAGUCCGGGACCGCGAGGACCGGCCUAGGGCGAAACUGGUAACUGGGGCUAAGUCGUAACAAGGUACC